CGGGCAUGGUGGCUCACGCCUGUAAUCCCAGCACUUUGGGAGGCUGACGUGGGCGGAUCAUGAGGUCAGGAAUUCGAGACUAGUCUAGCCAACAUGGUGAAACCCCGUCUCUACUAAAAAUACAAAAAGUAGCUGGGCGUGGUGGUGGGCGCCUGUAAUCCCAGCUACUCAGGAGGCUGAGGCAGGAGAAUCGCUUGAAACCGGAAGGUGGAGGUUGCAGUGAGCUGAGAUCGUGCCAUUGCACUCCAGCCUGGGCAACAAGAGUGAAACUUCAUCUCAAAAAAAGAAGAAAAAAAAUAAUAACCAAUGCUUCCAGAGUGAGUGAGGGAUACAGACAUAAACUGUGAUCCCCGCCCUGCAGAACUUUACCAUGGAGGUGAAGGCAGAAGAUAUGUACAAAUAAUUCCCAGAAUUUUCUCCUCAAAAUUCAACUUCAGAGAGUACAUGUUUUGACCAAGCAUGUCUCUUGUGGAAUAUCCCUUCCAGCUCUUCAUCUCCCUCAUCCCAGCAGAGCAGUGGGUGUUGUUCACUGGACCUGGGCCAUGCACUGUGUGCACUGCUGAUCGGAACAAGGCAAGGCUUCCUUCCCGGGCUCUGGGAAGCCCCCUGGCAGGGCAGUCCAAGCAUCACAAAGCCGCCCCAGUUUCUUAGCCAGCCUCUCCUGAAGUCUCUGUGGAUGGAGGCUGGAGAGGGCACAGGUGGGGCGGCUCUUUGCCCCACAAUCUCGUCGCUGUGUCUGUGAGUGCUCUAGGGUUGCUGGCCAGGAGGAGAAAGACAGAGGAAGGGUGGAGGCUCAGCUGACAGCAACCGUUCCACAAAGCUUCUUCUGGCAGCGCUGACCCACAUGAGUCCCCUCUGUCUCCAUCUCCAAACAGGCAUUAUUGUAUUACACACUCGGGCACGGCACCAUACUCUCUCUUGACCUGCUCUGUAAAUUGAGCAUAAGCCUCUUCUGCUAAGGGCAAAGGUAUCUGCCAUUAUAAAAAGGACCUCUAGGAGGCCCCCCAAAGGUUGUGGGUUGAACUGUAUCCUUUGAAAUGUACCCCAGAGUGGAAGUCCUCACCCUUUGUAUCUGUGAAUGUGAUCUGAUUUGGAAAUAAGAUCUUGGCAGAUAGAAUAAUGAUGUCAGUUAAGAUGAGGUCACUCUGAACUAGGGUGGGCCCUUCAUCCAACCUGAGUGGUGUCCUUAUAAAAAGAGGAGAAGAGACACAGAGAGAGACACACAUACAGAGGAGGAAAAGCCGUGCUGAGACACAGACACAGAGAGGAAAGACAGCCAUGUGGUAAUGGAGGCAGAGACUGGAAUUCAGUUUCUGUAAGCCAAGGAAUGCCAGUGAUGGCCGGCAACCGCCAGCAGCUGGGAGAAUGACUGUGGCCCUACUAAUACCUUGAUUUUGGACUUCUAGCCUCCAGAACUGUGAGAAUAGAUUUCUGUUGUCUUUAGUCACCUAGUUUAUUAUAAUUUGUUAUGGCAGCAUGAAUAUGUGUGCUUGUAGCCCAGGAAGCUAAUAUACCCCUUCCUCCAUGAAAGCAGAAAAAACACAGAUACAAAUUAUUAAGCAUUUACCACACACUAGGCAAUGUUUGAUAUAUACUAUACCAUUUGAUUGUCGCAGAAAUCAAUAGAUGUGGGUGCAUGUAUUCUUUUAAUAACUGAGGGUUCCAGAGAAGCUUAGCAAUUGACCCAACAUCACACAGCUGGUACAUAGAUGGUGCCACUGGAAAUUGAAUGUUGUCUCAAUAGCUCCCAAGCUUUGUCUCUGAGAGAAUGAAUCUCUUGUACUGGUGAUGGGGCAGGAGAAGAUCACAUGAAUAGGUCUUCUCUGCCCAGAACAUCUUCUUUUUCUCAACACAGGAGGCCCACUUGUCAGGUUAGGUCAACACCUAAAUGACUGAAAGAGACUCAACCAAGCCUGGAAUCCUCACAUGUUCUUGGAAACCAUGAGAUCAAGAGCCUUGCUUUUCAAUAGUCCUUGGAGCCUGGAUACAUGCAAGGUCCUGGGGCCCCACUUUUUGAGAGUGGGGGACCGGAAGGAAGAGUGGAGGAUGAGAGUGGCCUAUAUUGGCAGUCUGUGUUCCAGAACUAUAUUUAGCAACUCAUUUAGAUGAUGACCGUGAGCCCAACAUGAUGACAGGGCUCAAUUACAUCAGUUCUCCCUAUUGCUGUGAAACAAUGAAGGCUUGUUGUGUUCAUUAGUCAAUUGGAUUCCACUUCCAAAGUACAUACAAUGCUUAUAAUUAUGGGCAACUUGGAGGGGAGAUCCCAAUUUGCCUCUGCUGGUUCAACAAAAAUCACAUUUGGAAAUUUAAAGGGACAGUUAUAUGCCUGUAUCUUUGUUGUCAGCUGCGUUAUCAGGCGAUAAUAUUUUUUUCACCAAAGAAGCUUGAAAAACAAUUUCAAUGUUGUUGACAAAUACAGCUUCCAUGACUUUGGGCUUCUUGAGGCCAAGAACUGUAUUUUACUCAUGUCUUUCUCCUCAGCUCUUAGCACUUCUCUGAGACAUCUUGUGAUCAAUAAUAUUUUGUUGAAUAAGUGAAUGAAUGAGAUCCUAUUCAUCUGGCAGAAUAUUCUUUACUAGAAAAUUUACCGACUUAAAUGUUCAUCUGUAUCAACAUUGGAUCUAAGUACUGUUUCUAUUUUUUUUUUUUUUUUGGCCUUUUCUACCCUUCCUCAAAUUAAAAACAAUAGCAGCAGCAACAACAAAACAACCCCAGGAAUGGUAG
rnacentral:lncRNA from 1 species